rnacentral:rRNA from 1 species
GACGUAGGGCGCGAGCGUUGUCCGGAUUUAUUGGGCGUAAAGAGCUCGUAGGCGGCUUGUCGCGUCGUCCGUGAAAACCUGCGGCUCAACUGCAGGCUGGCGGUCGAUACGGGCAGGCUGGGGUUCGGUAGGGGAGACUGGAAUUCCUGGUGUAGCGGUGAAAUGCGCAGAUAUCAGGAGGAACACCGGUGGCGAAGGCGGGUCUCUGGGCCGAUACUGACGCUGAGGAGCGAAAGCGUGGGGAGCGAACAGG